AUCCCAUGCCACCUACCACUGUUGCACCAAUGCCCCUCUCAGCUCACACCUCGUGGGGGUCUCCCCGUGACCAGCUGAGAGGACGGACAAGGCUGAGGUUGGUUCGUGCAUGGAUCGGGCUCAGUGUUGGUGUGCGCUGAAGACAAUUGCGGUUGCACUCACUUCCUGCUGGGGGCGUGGCCUCAAAGACAGUGGGCGGAGCUUUGGGUGGACCCCUGGCCACCUAUGUGUGUAAAGAGAGAAGUGGCCUGAGGUCAGGGUAUGCGUGGGCUCAGGGGCAGUGGCUGAACUGGUCGGGAGAGUCUGCAAGGAGCAAGACAGGAAGAAUGGGAAGAUGUGGGGGAGGCGUGUGCGUGGACUGGGGGAGGGGCACACCGCGUGAGGAUCCUCGUCUCCCACGUUAACCCCUGGGAGCAUCCGGUGCACAGGGACACUAAACAACCAGGUGGACGGGAUGACCCUGCCAGCCUUUGUCCUGGGCGGCCACCGCACUUGGGCCACAGGCUCAUGAAGUGGAACAGUUACGGUGGCAGAGCUGGACGCCACUCCUGGGCCCGAGAGAAGGUGUUUCUACUCAUCGAGGCUGCUGUGGUUGCUGCACCUCUGCGUGUCUGACCUGUCAGCUACUGAGGCCGACUCUAAGCUCCCGAGAUGGUACCAUCCCCUUGAGGCGGCCAACCAGCCAGGCACUUGGUGGGUGGCUGAUUCACUGGCGUGGAUCCUGAGCAACACCACCCAUGGCCAAGGGAUUGACCUUCUGGGAAAAGUGCAGCAGCAGGCACGUGGCCACGGGACCCACCCCUCCACUGUAGACUGCACGUCCAGGGCUGCCCGC
rnacentral:lncRNA from 1 species